rnacentral:lncRNA from 1 species
UUUUCUUUACCCUGUCAUUAUUCCUCUUCUGGCUUUCCUGGAUUACAGACACAAGUAGGUCACGUUGCAUUUACCCACCCUUUAUGCAAAGUGCUUUGGAGUGGAGCCUGGGGCCUGGUCCAACUGGGAAUGACCAUCUUAUCAUUGCCGGAAUGAAAAGCUGCUUUUAAACCUUGUCAGCCACAUUACCAGGAAGCCCUUUGCUGGCACAAACCCACUGCUUUCUAUUUCCUUCUUAUAUUUUUCCCUUUUUUGUUCUCCUUGCCUUUCCUUAUUUGCCUGCCCUGGUGGUCUUUUGUUUCCUGAAUCAAAUCCUCUUUGUUCUUUAUGAUGUGGGACAUCUUAGUUCCUCUAAUCAAGACAAUUUUACAUCAUAGAUCGUGUCUGAUCACCUCCAAGGGAACGUUUGGAGCCUUGUCGAGGUAGGCUUUGAGCAGCAAGGACCUCAUCUGGGCCUCAGCUGUAUCCACAACAGCUCUGGAAGAUAUACAUGAUAAAAGCACCCUGUCAACCACGGACACAUCCCACAGCCAUUUCCCCCUUGUGACAGCUCAUAAAAUGCUGCAUAAUAGUUCCUGUGUGAGUAUGAGAAAAUACUGAAACAACGUCAAGAGAAUCAAGCAAAAGGCAACUGGUCCCCUGGAUCCGUCUUCAUUGGGUCCCACUGGACAACUUUUUUUGCCGGAUGAACGGUAGAGGCUGGUAAUACCACAAACAACAUUCCAGGAUAGCAAAAAUUUAAGAUGUUACCUGAAGGAAUUUCCGGAGCCCUACUCUAAACCCAAUCCUGAAGAUGUCACAGAAGGGAGAAAGAAAAUGGUGGAUCUAAGAAAAUAUUGGAAAAACUGAAAAGUCCCUGGAGAGACAGAAGUUGGCUCCGUUCUGAGUCCUAGCUGAAGCAACGACCAACUAGAAAAUGCAUUAGAAAUCCAGGCAUCAUCCAGAAGAGCAUUAAAAAACCUAAGGAAGACAUUGGAGAAUUCGUAUGCUAUUUUAGCUGGCUCUGUGAUUGCAAUCACACAAAUCACUCCAUUCCAGAGAGAUUUCACGAACAGGAGGUUUUUCCAUUUCAGCCUUUCAAGGUAAAACAUUAUCUUUUCAUUUUCUGUAUACUCCAGGGAAUCAAGAAAUUAUGAAACGUAAGCCAUAAUUAUAAUAGCAUUUCUAAGUCUUCCUUGAUGGUCACAGUUAAGAAAAGGGAAGAGGAGAACUCUUUUGUUCCCAGUGACAUUAAAAUGCCCAGUCAGAUAAAAAUAAUAUUGAAUUGGCUUUCCUUUGUUCAACUGUUGUAACCUGCAAUCUCACUGCCUAUUUCACCCCAAAAUGAGUUAGUGUUGCAGAGCAAGAUAAUGACUCUCCCAUAAGCUUAUGAAUUGCUAUAGAACUGGAACC